rnacentral:lncRNA from 1 species
AAAGAUAUUCAUCAGAAAUCAUUCAUCUUUGUACUACAAGCCAAAGAUAUUCAAUAAUAUCAUCAUUUAAGACUGAGGAUGAUGAAAAAUAUUUUUAAAGAAACGAAUCCAGUGAAACAAAAUGACAAAGAUUAAGGAUUAAGGAUUCGUACUUUGUUUUAUCCAUGUCCAAAAAUACCUCAAAAAUAAUCAUAGUGGUGUAAAAUUCAAGAAUGAUCAAAACAUGGAUACAAUCAAAGCUAGUAUCCACAAUAGAUAUUUUAGAUGAAAAGGGAAAAUUUUUAUUUUUCGAUGAAUAGUGCCGUAUUCGUGAAUAGUGUCGUAUACGUGAAUAGUAACUCUGACACCAAAAGUUCCAAAUUUGAUAAAAACUUCAGAUCAAUAUUUCAGCAUAAUGAUAUUGAAGAAAUAAUAUCAUUACGAAAAAAAAAA